rnacentral:RNase_P_RNA from 1 species
UGAGUAGGUCAGACAAUCGCGGGCAAAGAGAUUUGCGUGAGGAAAGUCCGGGCUCCAUAGAGCAAGGAUGCCGGCUAACGGCCGGUGAGGGCGACCUUAAGGAUAGUGCAACAGAAAAUAAAUGCCUCGUUUUCGGGGCGAUUGUGGAAAUGUGUGGUAAGAGCGCACAGGGGAUAUGGUAACUGACUCUCCGUGUAAACCCCAUCCGGAGCAACAUUUGACAGCACAAUUAAGCCUGCUCGGCACUGUGCGACGAAAUGGCUUGAGCAACGCAGCAAUGCGUUGCCACAGAUAGAUGAUUGUCUAAUACAGAACCCGGCUUACAGACCUGCUCUUUUG